rnacentral:rRNA from 1 species
GACGAACGCUGGCGGCGUGCUUAACACAUGCAAGUCGAACGAUGAAGCCAGCUUGCUGGUGGAUUAGUGGCGAACGGGUGAGUAACACGUGGGCAACCUGCCCCCGGCUCUGGGAUAACUCCAAGAAAUUGGUGCUAAGACCGGAUAUUCUCGCUUCUCCGCAUGGGGUUUUGAGGAAAGGUUUUCGGCUGGGGAUGGGCCCGCGGCCUAUCAGCUUGUUGGUGGGGUGAUGGACUACCAAGGCGACGACGGGUAGCCGGCCUGAGAGGGUGACCGGCCACACUGGGACUGAGACACGGCCCAGACUCCUACGGGAGGCAGCAGUGGGGAAUAUUGCGCAAUGGGCGGAAGCCUGACGCAGCGACGCCGCGUGAGGGAUGACGGCCUUCGGGUUGUAAACCUCUUUCAGCAGGGACGAAGCGCAAGUGACGGUACCUGCAGAAGAAGCACCGGCCAACUACGUGCCAGCCGCCGCCGUAA